rfam:Synechococcus sp. RS9917 scf_1099465004208 genomic scaffold, whole genome shotgun sequence.
GAUAACCGAAGAUCACACCGGGAUCGAGGGUGGGGUUGGUGAUCAAGCGCACGUCACCACCGCCGGGGGCCCAGGUGUCGUAGACGCCGCCGAAGAACAUCGCCUUGAACACCAGCAGCAGCGCACCGACGCCAAGCAGGAUCAAGUGGUAACCGAUGAUGUUGGUCAUCUGGUUCUUAUCCCGCCA